AUUGAACGCUGGCGGCAGGCCUAACACAUGCAAGUCGAAUGGUAACAGGAAACAGCUUGCUGUUUCGCUGACGAGUGGCGGACGGGUGAGUAAUGUCUGGGAAACUGCCUGAUGGAGGGGGAUAACUACUGGAAACGGUAGCUAAUACCGCAUAACGUCGCAAGACCAAAGAGGGGGACCUUCGGGCCUCUUGCCAUCAGAUGUGCCCAGAUGGGAUUAGCUAGUAGGUGGGGUAACGGCUCACCUAGGCGACGAUCCCUAGCUGGUCUGAGAGGAUGACCAGCCACACUGGAACUGAGACACGGUCCAGACUCCUACGGGAGGCAGCAGUGGGGAAUAUUGCACAAUGGGCGCAAGCCUGAUGCAGCCAUGCCGCGUGUAUGAAGAAGGCCUUCGGGUUGUAAAGUACUUUCAGCGGGGAGGAAGGGAGUAAAGUUAAUACCUUUGCUCAUUGACGUUACCCGCAGAAGAAGCACCGGCUAACUCCGUGCCAGCAGCCGCGGUAAUACGGAGGGUGCAAGCGUUAAUCGGAAUUACUGGGCGUAAAGCGCACGCAGGCGGUUUGUUAAGUCAGAUGUGAAAUCCCCGGGCUCAACCUGGGAACUGCAUCUGAUACUGGCAAGCUUGAGUCUCGUAGAGGGGGGUAGAAUUCCAGGUGUAGCGGUGAAAUGCGUAGAGAUCUGGAGGAAUACCGGUGGCGAAGG
rnacentral:rRNA from 1 species